rnacentral:rRNA from 1 species
UACGUAGGGUGCAAGCGUUAAUCGGAAUUACUGGGCGUAAAGCGUGCGCAGGCGGCUUUGCAAGACAGAUGUGAAAUCCCCGGGCUUAACCUGGGAACUGCAUUUGUGACUGCAAGGCUGGAGUGCGGCAGAGGGGGGUGGAAUUCCGCGUGUAGCAGUGAAAUGCGUAGAUAUGCGGAGGAACACCGAUGGCGAAGGCAAUCCCCUGGGCCUGCACUGACGCUCAUGCACGAAAGCGUGGGGAGCAAACAGG